rnacentral:tRNA from 1 species
GAGAGUAUAGCUCAGGGGUAGAGUGCUUCCUUAGAAUACACAGGGUCCUGGGUUCAAUCCCCAGUACCUCCA